GGAGGUAUAGCUCAGUGGUAGAGUGCAUGAUGCUUAGCGUUCACCAGGUCAUGGGUUCAAUCCCCAGUACCUCCA
rnacentral:tRNA from 1 species